GACGAACGCUGGCGGCGUGCUUAACACAUGCAAGUCGAACGGAAAGGCCCUGCUUUUGUGGGGUGCUCGAGUGGCGAACGGGUGAGUAACACGUGAGUAACCUGCCCUUGACUUUGGGAUAACUUCAGGAAACUGGGGCUAAUACCGGAUAGGAGCUCCUGCUGCAUGGUGGGGGUUGGAAAGUUUCGGCGGUUGGGGAUGGACUCGCGGCUUAUCAGCUUGUUGGUGGGGUAGUGGCUUACCAAGGGUUUGACGGGUAGCCGGCCUGAGAGGGUGACCGGCCACAUUGGGACUGAGAUACGGCCCAGACUCCUACGGGAGGCAGCAGUCGGGAAUAUUGCACAAUGGGCGGAAGCCUGAUGCAGCAACGCCGCGUGCGGGAUGACGGCCUUCGGGUUGUAAACCGCUUUCGCCUGUGACGAAGCGUGAGUGACGGUAAUGGGUAAAGAAGCACCGGCUAACUACGUG
rnacentral:rRNA from 1 species